rnacentral:rRNA from 1 species
GUUACCUUCGGGUAAUGAGGAUGGCGGACGGGUGAGUAACGCGUAAGGAACUUGCCUCUUGGACUGGGACAACUGUUGGAAACGACAGCUAAUACCAGAUAUUAUGAGAUUCUCGCAUGAGAAAUUUAUGAAAGCUAUAUGCGCCAAGAGAGAGCCUUGCGUUCCAUUAGCUAGUUGGUGGGGUAACGGCCCACCAAGGCGACGAUGGAUAGCCGGCCUGAGAGGGUGAACGGCCACAAGGGGACUGAGACACGGCCCUUACUCCUACGGGAGGCAGCAGUGGGGAAUAUUGGACAAUGGGCCACAAGCCUGAUCCAGCAAUUCUGUGUGCACGAUGAAGGUCUUCGGAUUGUAAAGUGCUUUCAGUUGGGAAGAAGAAAGUGACGGUACCAACAGAAGAAGCGACGGCUAAAUACGUGCCAGCAGCCGCGGUAAUACGUAUGUCGCAAGCGUUAUCCGGAUUUAUUGGGCGUAAAGCGCGUCUAGGCGGAAAAAUAAGUCUGAUGUUAAAAUGCGGGGCUCAACUCCGUAUUGCGUUGGAAACUGUUUUUCUAGAGUACUGGAGAGGUGGGCGGAACUACAAGUGUAGAGGUGAAAUUCGUAGAUAUUUGUAGGAAUGCCGAUGGAGAAGUCAGCUCACUGGACAGAUACUGACGCUGAAGCGCGAAAGCGUGGGGAGCAAACA